AUACGAAGGGGGCAAGCGUUGUUCGGAAUAACUGGGCGUAAAGCGCACGUAGGCGGAUUGAUCAGUUAGAGGUGAAAUCCCAGGGCUCAACCCUGGAACUGCCUUUAAUACUGUCAGUCUAGAGAUCGAGAGAGGUGAGUGGAAUUCCGAGUGUAGAGGUGAAAUUCGUAGAUAUUCGGAGGAACACCAGUGGCGAAGGCGGCUCACUGGCUCGAUACUGACGCUGAGGUGCGAAAGCGUGGGGAGCAAACAGAAUUAGAAACCCCAGUAGUCC
rnacentral:rRNA from 1 species